rnacentral:pre_miRNA from 1 species
AACCCGAUUUUCAUGGAUCUUUGUGUAUUAUGAAGUCCAAGAUUCAUGUCAAUCUGGUCUC